rnacentral:piRNA from 1 species
UGCAGAGUUUCACAGUGACAGCA